UACAGAGGUCCCAAGCGUUGUUCGGAUUCAUUGGGCGUAAAGGGUGCGUAGGCGGCGCGGUAAGUCGGGUGUGAAAUUUCGGAGCUUAACUCCGAAACUGCAUUCGAUACUGCGGUGCUUGAGGACUGGAGAGGAGACUGGAAUUCAUGGUGUAGCAGUGAAAUGCGUAGAGAUCAUGAGGAAGACCAGUGGCGAAGGCGGGUCUCUGGACAGUUCCUGACACUGAGGCACGAAGGCCAGGGGAGCAAACGGG
rnacentral:rRNA from 1 species